rnacentral:rRNA from 1 species
GGCCAGGCUGUCUCCACCCGAGACUCAGUGAAAUUGAACUCGCUGUGAAGAUGCAGUGUACCCGCGGCAAGACGGAAAGACCCCGUGAACCUUUACUAUAGCUUGACACUGAACAUUGAGCCUUGAUGUGUAGGAUAGGUGGGAGGCUUUGAAGUGUGGACGCCAGUCUGCAUGGAGCCGACCUUGAAAUACCACCCUUUAAUGUUUGAUGUUCUAACGUUGACCCGUAAUCCGGGUUGCGGACAGUGUCUGGUGGGUAGUUUGACUGGGGCGGUCUCCUCCUAAAGAGUAACGGAGGAGCACGAAGGUUGGCUAAUCCUGGUCGGACAUCAGGAGGUUAGUGCAAUGGCAUAAGCCAGCUUGACUGCGAGCGUGACGGCGCGAGCAGGUGCGAAAGCAGGUCAUAGUGAUCCGGUGGUUCUGAAUGGAAGGGCCAUCGCUCAACGGAUAAAAGGUACUCCGGGGAUAACAGGCUGAUACCGCCCAAGAGUUCAUAUCGACGGCGGUGUUUGGCACCUCGAUGUCGGCUCAUCACAUCCUGGGGCUGAAGUAGGUCCCAAGGGUAUGGCUGUUCGCCAUUUAAAGUGGUACGCGAGCUGGGUUUAGAACGUCGUGAGACAGUUCGGUCCCUAUCUGCCGUGGGCGCUGGAGAACUGAGGGGGGCUGCUCCUAGUACGAGAGGACCGGAGUGGACGCAUCACUGGUGUUCGGGUUGUCAUGCCAAUGGCACUGCCCGGUAGCUAAAUGCGGAAGAGAUAAGUGCUGAAAGCAUCUAAGCACGAAACUUGCCCCGAGAUGAGUUCUCCCUGACUCCUUGAGAGUCCUGAAGGAACGUUGAAGACGACGACGUUGAUAGGCCGGGUGUGUAAGCGCAGCGAUGCGU